UAAAUCCCUAACCCCUUCCCUCCCUUUUUUUCCCCCAAAUAGGAUCCAACUCCACCUCCACCGAUUCACGACUCCACGUCCACGACUCAACGACUCCACGGUGCUUCACUGCUUCUAGCCUUCUUCGUCUUCUCAAAGAACUUUUUUCACUACUGGGAAAGAAUACUUGGGCAACGAUUUUGAUAAUUCAAUUCCAUGUCAACUUUAUUUUGUUGAGUUUUGAUUUGUGAAGAAUUUGUGUUUGAUUAUAUCUAGCUGAGUAUCUUCAGAAAACCCAAUUUGUAGAUGUGCUAGAUUAUUGAGGCCAACGGGAUAAAGAUUAUCAAAUGUUUACACUUUCUAACGAGGAGUGGAGAAAUGUUGCUAUUCUUUGCAAAUUUUUGAAAGUAUUUUAUGAUGUGACUUGUGUUUUUUCUGGUUCUAAUUAUCCAACGGCUAAUCUUUAUUUUAGAGGAGUUUGGAAGGUACACAAGGUCUUGCUUGAUACAGUUAAAGGUCCUUAUUCGUUUUUAACUCCAAUGGUUAAGCAAAUGCAAGAGAAAUUUAAUAAGUAUUGGGCUGAGUAUUCGUUGAUAUUGUCAUGUGCUGCAAUUUUAGAUCCUCGUUACAAGUUGAAUUAUGUGUAGUAUUGCUUUAAUACAAUCUAUGGUAUUCAUGCUUCAGAUUUUGUUGAGACCAUUCUUAGCAAUCUUAGACUCUUGUUUGAUGAGUAUGUUAAGAAAUCCAAAUCCACGUCUUCCUCUUUGGCUGGGAGUUCUAAUGUUUCGGAUAAAAAUCCUGUUGAUUCUGGUUUGGAUGAACACAAUGAUAGUAGUGCUGAUUUUGGGGGAUAUUUUGAUGAGAGUGAUGAUUAUAAAUGGUAUUUAAAUGAAUCUAGCACUAGGAGUGAGAAGUCACAGUUGGACAUUUAUUUGGAAGAACCGGAGCUUGAGUUGAAUAGUCAAAUAGAUGUUUUAGAUUAUUGAAGCAAAAGUUCAGUUCGAUACAAUGAGCUUUCAUUAUUGGAUCGUGAUCUUUUGGCAAUUCCAAUAUCGACUGUAGCUUCCGAAUCGGCUUUUAGCACGGGUAAGAAAGUUAUCACACCUUUAAGGAGUUCACUUAAGCCAAAAACGGUUCAAGCCGUUGUUUGCUUGGAUGAUUGGAUGCGAGCUAAGGGAUUUUCAGCAGAAAUUGGUUGCAAAAAGGACGAUGAGGACGAUGACGACGAUGA